rnacentral:rRNA from 1 species
UUUGAAAGCUGGCUCCUUCGGGGUCCGCAUUGUAAUUUGCAGAGGAUGCUUCGGGAGCGGCCCCCAUCUAAGUGCCCUGGAACGGGCCGUCAUAGAGGGUGAAAAUCCCGUCUGGGAUGGGGUGUCCGCGCCCGUGUGAAGCUCCUUCGACGAGUCGAGUUGUUUGGGAAUGCAGCUCUAAAUGGGUGGUAAAUUUCAUCUAAAGCUAAAUAUUGGCCGGAGACCGAUAGCGCACAAGUAGAGUGAUCGAAAGAUGAAAAGCACUUUGAAAAGAGAGUUAAACAGCACGUGAAAUUGUUGAAAGGGAAGCGCUUGCGACCAGACUCGCCCACGGGGUUCAGCCGGCAUUCGUGCCGGUGUACUUCCCCGCGGGCGGGCCAGCGUCGGUUUGGGCGGCCGGUCAAAGGCCCUCGGAAUGUAACGCCCCCCGGGGCGUCUUAUAGCCGAGGGUGCCAUGCGGCCAGCCCAGACCGAGGAACGCGCUUCGGCUCGGACGCUGGCAUAAUGGUCGUAAGCGACCCGUCUUGAAACACGGACCAAGGAGUCUAACAUCUACGCGAGUGUUCGGGUGUCAAACCCGUGCGCGCAGUGAAAGCGAACGGAGGUGGGAACCCCUCGGGGUGCACCAUCGACCGAUCCUGAUGUCUUCGGAUGGAUUUGAGUAUGAGCGUAGCUGUUGGGACCCGAAAGAUGGUGAACUAUGCCUGAAUAGGGUGAAGCCAGAGGAAACUCUGGUGGAGGCUCGCAGCGGUUCUGACGUGCAAAUCGAUCG